rnacentral:rRNA from 1 species
AUUGAACGCUGGCGGCAUGCUUUACACAUGCAAGUCGAACGGUAACAGGUUAAGCUGACGAGUGGCGAACGGGUGAGUAAUGCAUCGGAACGUGCCCGAUCGUGGGGGAUAACGCAGCGAAAGCUGCGCUAAUACCGCAUACGAUCUGAGGAUGAAAGCGGGGGACCGUAAGGCCUCGCGCGAUCGGAGCGGCCGAUGUCAGAUUAGGUAGUUGGUGGGGUAAAGGCCCACCAAGCCGACGAUCUGUAGCCGGUCGGAGAGGACGACCAGCCACACUGGGACUGAGACACGGCCCAGACUCCUACGGGAGGCAGCAGUGGGGAAUUUUGGACAAUGGGCGAAAGCCUGAUCCAGCAAUGCCGCGUGCAGGAAGAAGGCCUUCGGGUUGUAAACUGCUCUUGUACGGAGCGAAAAGGUCCUUUCUAAUACAAGGGGCUCAUGACGGUACCGUAGGAAUAAGCACCGGCUAACUACGUGCCAGCCGCCGCCGUAA